GGUAACACCGGCAGCCCGAGUGGUGAUCACUAUUAUUGGGUCUAAAGGGUCCGUAGCCGGUUUAAUCAGUCUUCUGGGAAAUCUAAUCGCUUAACUAUUAGGCUUCCAGGGGAUACUGUUAGACUUGGGACCGGGAGAGGUAAGAGGUACUGCAGGGGUAGGAGUGAAAUCUUGUAAUCCCUGUGAGACCACCAGUGGCGAAGGCGUCUUACCAGAACGGGUCCGACGGUGAGGGACGAAAGCUGGGGGCACGAACCGGAUUAGAUACCCGGGUAGUCCCAGCUGUAAACGAUGCUCGUUAGGUGUCAGGAACGGUGCGACUGUUUCUGGUGCCGAAGGGAAGCCGUGAAACGAGCCACCUGGGAAGUACGGCCGCAAGGCUGAAACUUAAAGGAAUUGGCGGGGGAGCACUACAACGGGUGGAGCCUGCGGUUUAAUUGGACUCAACGCCGGAAAACUCACCGGGGGCGACAGCAAUAUGUAGGUCAGGUUAAAGGUCUUACCUGAAUCGCUGAGAGGAGGUGCAUGGCCGUCGUCAGUUCGUACUGUGAAGCAUCCUGUUAAGUCAGGCAACGAGCAAGACCCGUGCCCACUGUUACCAGCAUAUCCUUUAUGGAUGAUGGGGACUCUGUGGGGACCGCUGCUGCUAAAGCAGAGGAAGGUGCGGGCUACGGUAGGUCAGUAUGCCCCGAAUCUCCCGGGCUACACGCGGGCUACAAUGGUUGGGACAAUGGGUAUCUACUCCGAAAGGAGUUGGCAAUCUCUUAAACCCAAUCGUAGUUCGAAUUGAGGGCUGUAACUCGCCCUCAUGAAGCUGGAAUCCGUAGUAAUCGCGUUUCAACAUAGCGCGGU
rnacentral:rRNA from 1 species